rnacentral:lncRNA from 1 species
AUUUUCGAGUGAUAAUUGAAUUUCUAGUUACAGAACUUUUAAAAUAUUUUCGGGUGAUCACUGUAAAAUAAGAGAGUGCUCUUAUUAUACCUUAAAAGUGGGAAAAAAUAAAAACAGUAAAAACUAAAAAGACAACAGUGGAAUUGAUGAUAUAAAUCCCCCGCUUCAUCAUGUGCCAUUCCAUAGAGCAAAGCAGAUAUAUUUCAGCAAACACUACCUAUUCAAUCUCCACAAAAAAUUAUGGAAGAAGACUUCCAAAAUCCCCCUUCCACCUCGCCGGAACCUAUAACCACCACAUCCUCUGCCACCCCUCUAGAAUUUUCCGAUGACAUUGACAGUUGUUGUUCCACGCCUUAUGUUAGUGCACCAUCGAGCCCCGGCCGUGACACGCCCCUUGGAGGGUUCUACUAUAGCGCCCCAGCGAGCCCUAUGCAUUUCUUGCUUUCCAGUACUAGCAUUUCUUCGUAUGGGGUUGAAUCGUCGACUGUGGCUUGUUCGUUUGAGUUUGAUUUCUCGGCUCCACUGGCUGACGACGGCGUACCGCCGGGUUCCAUGAGCUCCGCCGAUGAAUUGUUCCUCAACGGCCAGAUCAGACCCAUGAAGCUCUCUAGCCAUCUCCGGAGGCCCCAGGUUUUGGCCCCUUUGAGUGACAUGGAUGAAUCUGAUGAGGUUGAACAGUCCAAGCUCAAUGAUACUGAGGAGAAAUUUUUUCGCGGAAGGGAAUCGAAAUUGCGGGCUGGAUCAUUGAGGAGGAGGACUAGAUCUAUGUCCCCAUUGAGAACGACGUUGUUUCUUGAUCAUGAAAAUGACCACACACAGGAUGACGAUGAGAUAAAGAGGGAAAAUGAAGAGUGUAAGAAAGUAGAAGAGGCAGCAGGGUCGAAUGAUACGACGCCGUGUGGAUCUGGAUCUUCCUCGAGGUCUUCUUCAAUUGGGAGGAGCUCAAGGAGAUGGGUUUUCUUGAAGGAGUUCCUAUACAGGAGCAAAAGUGAAGGUAGAAACAACGGGCAUAAAUUUUGGGGCUCCUUAUCAUUUUCACCUGUCAAAGAUAAGAAAUUUGAGAAGCCCAUUUCCAAUCCCAAAAUCCCAUCAACUGAGAAAGCAAAUUCAGCACCAGAAGAAGUAAAUUCCAACACCGGAGCCACAAAAAAAGUUCCGAAAGUGGUGAAAAAAAGGGCAGUAAAUGGGAUUGGUAAAAGAAGGGUGCCACCAUCACCUCAUGAAUUGCAUUAUACUGCAAAUAGGGCACAAGCAGAGGAGAUGAGGAAGAAGACAUUUCUUCCAUAUAGACAAGGUUUGUUGGGCUGUUUGGGAUUCAGUUCAAAGGGCUAUGGAACCUUGAGUGGUUUUGCUAGAGCUUUGAACUCAGUGUCAUCAAGGUAAAUAAAAUGAAAAAUUUCAAGAAAAUGUGUAUUAAUUUCUUGAACAUGGGUUGGUUCCAAGUAGUGGAUUUGUAUAAAAUAUAUUUUGUUUUCUAAAUUUUUUUCAUGUUUUCCAGUGCUUCUGUUUUAUCCAUUUAUGGGUUUGCAUUAAUUGAUUAGGGAUUAUUAUUAACUUUGCAUGGAGAAACAGAUGUUGCCAAUCAUGGAAACUAAAGCAAAGUUUGUUUCAUCUCCCUUUAGCUUUUGCUUGUGUUGUAAAGUUCAUUAGAUCCUCUCUCUCUCUCUCUCUCUCUCUCUCUCUCUCAUGUAUUAUUAUCUGCAGGCCCUCGUGUUUGUGUCAU